GCGGCGGGCGGAACCACCGCUGCCCGAAGCGAGUGGCCUUACUUGGAGCUGAGAGCGCCUGGCUUUCCACAGGAACCCCCCAUCCCCGCUCUGGCGCCUGCGCACUGGGGAGAAGACAACAGACCAGGGUCGGGACGGGAGGCGAGUUCAGUAGGGCGUGUGCCCAGAAGUAAGGAGCUGGUCUGCCAGCCUGCCUGCGUGUCUCGCUGAGCCAGCGCCCCGGCCCCUUCAGCUGCAGCUGUUGACGCUGACACCAUGUCCAAGUCCUUGAAGAAAAUCGUGGAGGAGAGUAGGGAGAAGAAUAUCUUGGAGGUGGACAUGUGUGACCGAGGAAUCUCUAACAUGCUGGACAUAUCAGGCUUGUUCACUCUGUCUCACAUCACACAGCUGGUUCUCAGCCACAACAAGCUCACAACUGUGCCUCCAAACAUUGCGGACCUAAGGAAUUUAGAAGUGCUCAACUUUUUCAACAAUCAGAUUGAGGAGCUGCCCACUCAGAUUAGCAGCCUUCAGAAACUGAAACACUUGAACCUGGGGAUGAACAGGCUCAACUCCUUGCCCCGAGGCUUUGGCUCCUUACCAGCUCUUGAGGUUCUUGACUUGACUUACAAUAACUUAAAUGAAAAUUCCCUGCCUGGAAACUUCUUCUAUCUAACCACCCUGCGUGCACUCUAUCUAAGUGACAACGAUUUUGAAACCCUGCCACCAGAUAUUGGGAAGCUCACAAAGUUGCAGAUACUUAGUCUUAGAGAUAAUGACCUGAUAUCACUCCCUAAAGAAAUUGGUGAACUCACUCAGCUUAAAGAACUUCAUAUCCAGGGGAACCGUCUUACUGUGCUGCCUCCGGAACUAGGUAACUUGGAUUUGACUGGUCAAAAGCAAGUCUUCAAAGCAGAAAAUAAUCCAUGGGUCACCCCUAUUGCGGAUCAGUUCCAGCUGGGCAUUUCUCAUGUGUUUGAAUAUAUUCGGUCAGAAACAUACAAGUACUUGUUAUACUGACAGAAAAGUCUCUGAGGACUGAAAGGCAACCAGUUCAGAGUUGAAGCUGUGUAACAUUUACAUAUCUUUGCACUCCUUUAUGGAAGACACAUGCAAGCAAACCCCGAACCUCCAAAGAAGAACAACGACAAGUCCAAGAAGAUCAGUCGUAAGCCUCUAGCUGCCAAGAACAAGUAAACAUCUGCCAUGACAUGCCAAUCUUCGAAAGUCUUUGUUUUGCAUGUGCCUUUUUUUUACAGAUUUCCUAAAGAAGUUGUUUUAUAAAAUAAACGCAAGGAUAUCUUUUUAUAUCUAGAGCUUUUCACACAGUUUCAACUGCCUUGGUUAAUCAAUUCAUUAUUAUAAUGAUUAGCGAUUACCACUUCUAUCACGUAGCCAUUUAAUCCACUAUAAACCACUUUAGCUACUCUCGAAACACGUAUGCAAUGCCUUUGACUUGACUAAUCCACACAGCUGGCUACACUUUAUUAUUGCACCAGCCCAUGUAGCAUUCAUGUUUUAUGUAAUGCCCUAAAUUUGUUAAUAAAACCGUUUUUGUACCAUA